CAGCAACAAAACGAAUGUUGAACCAGCAGCCAUCAGAGUGAGCUGAACGGACGUCUGCACAAUUAGACGAUCUUGGCAAGCGAGGACGUGGCGUCGCGCUCUAGCUAGCUAGCUAGCUAGCUAGCGUCACUCCAGCAACAUUUCACGUCUGUUAUUUGCGGGAUGUCCUAAACAGGCCGGGCCCACUGGACUGACUGGCCAAUGCGGGAUUCCGCAAAUUUCGCUGGAAUUCAACUCAGAAGUCGUUGUUUGAGCUAAAUGAUGCAUUGCUGUUGAAAUAGUGUACAAGAAUUUGUGGCACGGUUGUUUUUGUAGGAACAUGCUUGAAAUAAAGUGUCUCUUGGGAGAAAAAACCCAAAAGAAUCGUUAA